rnacentral:rRNA from 1 species
CCUACGGGGGGCAGCAGUGGGGAAUAUUGCACAAUGGGCGCAAGCCUGAUGCAGCGACGCCGCGUGAGCGAUGAAGGCCUUCGGGUCGUAAAGCUCUGUCCAAGGGAAGAAUAAUGACGGUACCUUAGGAGGAAGCCCCGGCUAACUACGUGCCAGCAGCCGCGGUAAUACGUAGGGGGCGAGCGUUAUCCGGAAUCACUGGGCGUAAAGGGUGAGUAGCCGACCCGGGAAGUCAGGAGUUAAUUCCCUCGGCUCAAUCGAGGUCAGCGCUUGAAACUGUAGGGCUUGAGUGCAGGAGAGGAGAGCUGAAUUCCUAGUGCGGCGGUGAAAUGCGUAGAUAUUAGGAGGAACACCAGUGGCGAAGGCGGCUCUGUAGACUGCAACUGACGCUGAGGCACGAAAGCGUGGAGAGCGAACAGGAUUAGAUACCCGAGUAGUC